ensembl:lncRNA
GACAGCGAUGGACCCAAGGUUUAAAGCCAAAAGUGUCAGGCACACCACCUGGGAACGUUUGCAGGAGGCAGCUGUUGCAACCAAUGAUACAGAAGCAGAUGCCCGUUCCCUGAUUCCCAUGAGGACAGCAACACAACCGAGGAGACUGUAUGAAAAUCCUCGGGGUGAUCAGUCCUGCACCACAACCCAGGACUGACCUGGAGGAGCUAUUUGCAGAGGAGGAGCGAGUGAUAGACCAUCCAUCUGAAUAACUCCUCUAAUAUGUACAAAGUAAAUAAGGUGCAAAGUCAAACUGGAGAAGUAAUUCCGGAAAGGAUUUUGUUAGAGGACCAAUCAAAGCGCUUGCUGUCUCUGUUGCAUCGACGGAUAAUUCAAAACUAUUGGACGUGCAGGUAAGCUAACGAGAAGGUCUCCGUCAGGCUCUCUGUCAAGUUACGUCAGUCGACGUUGUUCGACUUAAUUAGACCGAAGUCAGAAGAAGAAGGAGAAGAAAUUCACAUAGAGUCUGGACCCACUCAAUUGACUAACGUUAACUCAUUUGAAGACGGGUGUCUGUUUGGAUGUUCUAACUAUUGGAUCUGCCCAGUGCCACUCUGGAUCUGCCACAACCAAUAGCUAAUAUAUAUAAUAACGUUUGAUUAGCGAUUGGUUAUGGCA